AUUCUUUCGCAGAGGCAAUAUUGUAGCCUAUGAGGGUUUAUCCGAGGCGCGAUCAUUGCUGGUUGAAAACUUUACCCAAUACCCCGCCAGGAUGACUUGAAAUACAGUCAGCCUUGGCAAUUUUUUUGCCAGCUUCUGUGGAAG
ensembl:snRNA U4 U4 spliceosomal RNA